rnacentral:misc_RNA from 1 species
GAUGAAGAACGUAGCGAAAUGCGAUACUUGGUGUGAAUUGCAGAAUCCCGUGAACCAUCGAGUCUUUGAACGCAAGUUGCGCCCGAAGCCACUAGGCCGAGGGCACGCCUGCCUGGGCGUCACACGCCGUUGCCCCCCCAUCUACUCCUUCGGGAUUGCGGGGGGGCGGAUGAUGGCCUCCCGUGCGCCUAGCCGCGCGGUUGGCAUAAAUACCAAGUCCUCGGCGACGCACGCCACGACAAUCGGUGGUUGCGAAACCUCGGUUGCCCGUCGUGUGCGUUCGUCGCGCAUCGAGGGCUCGAAAAAAUGCUCGGCUCCGGCUGGGCUUUCAACGCGACCCCAGGUCAGGCGGGGUUACCCGCUGAAUCUAAGCAUAUCAAUAAGCGGAGGA